AUGGUUGGACGAAAUAUUAACUGUUUCAUUUAAAAUUGUUAUAGAAUUUUAUUUUUUAGUCAAAAAGCUAAAAUUUAUUUAAAAGACGAGAAGACCCUAUAAAUCUUUAUAUUUUAUUUAUUUUAAUUGUAAAGAUUAAUUUAAUUUUAAUAAAUUAAAAUAUUUUAUUGGGGUGAUAUUAAAAUUUAAAAAACUUUUAAUUUUUAAAAACAUUAAUUUAUGAAUAAUUGAUCCAUUAAUAAUGAUUAAAAAAUUAAGUUACUUUAGGGAUAACAGCGUAAUUUUUUUGGAGAGUUCUUAUCGAUAAAAAAGAUUGCGACCUCGAUGUUGGAUUAAGAUAUAAUUUUGGGUGUAGCCGUUCAAAUUUUAAGUCUGUUCGACUUUUAAAUUCUUACAUGAUCUGAGUUCAAACCGGUGUAAGCCAGGUUGGUUUCUAUCUUUAAAAAAUUAUAAUAUUUUAGUACGAAAGGACCAAAUAUUAAAAUAAUUAUAUUUUUACAUAUGAAUAUUAUUAAUAU
rnacentral:rRNA from 1 species